CGCAGAUGGUACUGCAGUCAUGUGGGAGAGUAUGUCGUCGCCUUUC
rnacentral:rRNA from 1 species